UCCCCAGUUCAAAUCCGGGUGUCGCCU
rnacentral:tRNA from 2 species